rnacentral:rRNA from 1 species
CCUACGGGAGGCAGCAGUGAGGAAUAUUGGUCAAUGGACGUACGUCUGAACCAGCCAUGCCGCGUGCAGGAAGACGGCUCUAUGAGUUGUAAACUGCUUUUGUACGAGGGUAAACGCAGAUACGCGUAUCUGUCUGCAAGUAUCGUACGAAUAAGGAUCGGCUAACUCCGUGCCAGCAGCCGCGGUAAUACGGAGGAUUCAAGCGUUAUCCGGAUUUAUUGGGUUUAAAGGGUGCGUAGGCGGUCGGAUAAGUUAGAGGUGAAAUCCCGAGGCUCAACUUCGGAAUUGCCUCUGAUACUGUUCGGCUAGAGAGUAGUUGCGGUAGGCGGAAUGUAUGGUGUAGCGGUGAAAUGCUUAGAGAUCAUACAGAACACCGAUUGCGAAGGCAGCUUACCAAGCUACUUCUGACGUUGAGGCACGAAAGCGUGGGGAGCAAACAGGAUUAGAUACCCGGGUAGUC